rnacentral:rRNA from 1 species
GUGGGGAAUAUUGCACAAUGGGCGAAAGCCUGAUGCAGCAACGCCGCGUGAGGGACGACGGCCUUCGGGUUGUAAACCUCUUUUAGUAGGGAAGAAGCGAAAGUGACGGUACCUGCAGAAAAAGCACCGGCUAACUACGUGCCAGCAGCCGCGGUAAUACGUAGGGUGCAAGCGUUAUCCGGAAUUAUUGGGCGUAAAGAGCUCGUAGGCGGUUUGUCGCGUCUGCUGUGAAAACCCGAGGCUCAACCUCGGGCCUGCAGUGGGUACGGGCAGACUAGAGUGCGGUAGGGGAGAUUGGAAUUCCUGGUGUAGCGGUGGAAUGCGCAGAUAUCAGGAGGAACACCGAUGGCGAAGGCAGAUCUCUGGGCCGUAACUGACGCUGAGGAGCGAAAGCGUGGGGAGCGAACAGGAUUAGAAACCCGAGUAGUCC